rnacentral:rRNA from 1 species
UGGGGAAUAUUGCACAAUGGGCGCAAGCCUGAUGCAGCCAUGCCGCGUGUAUGAAGAAGGCCUUCGGGUUGUAAAGUACUUUCAGCGGGGAGGAAGGGAGUAAAGUUAAUACCUUUGCUGAUUGACGUUACCCGCAGAAGAAGCACCGGCUAACUCCGUGCCAGCAGCCGCGGUAAUACGGAGGGUGCAAGCGUUAAUCGGAAUUACUGGGCGUAAAGCGCACGCAGGCGGUUUGUUAAGUCAGAUGUGAAAUCCCCGGGCUCAACCUGUGAACUGCAUCUGAUACUGGCAAGCUUGAGUCUCGUAGAGGGGGGUAGAAUUCCAGGUGUAGCGGUGAAAUGCGUAGAGAUCUGGAGGAAUACCGGUGGCGAAGGCGGCCCCCUGGACGAAGACUGACGCUCAGGUGCGAAAGCGUGGGGAGCAAACAGG